GGUAUAGUUCUUCGGAAUUAGAGACCGGCGCACGGGUGCGUAACGCGUAUGCAAUCUACCUUUUGCAGAGGGAUAGCCCAGAGAAAUUUGGAUUAAUACCUCAUAGUAUAGCAGUUUCGCAUGAAACCACUAUUAAAGUCACAACGGCAAAAGAUGAGCAUGCGUCCCAUUAGCUAGUUGGUAAGGUAACGGCUUACCAAGGCUACGAUGGGUAGGGGUCCUGAGAGGGAGAUCCCCCACACUGGUACUGAGACACGGACCAGACUCCUACGGGAGGCAGCAGUGAGGAAUAUUGGACAAUGGGCGCAAGCCUGAUCCAGCCAUGCCGCGUGCAGGAUGACGGUCCUAUGGAUUGUAAACUGCUUUUGUACAGGAAGAAACACUCCCUCGUGAGGGAGCUUGACGGUACUGUAAGAAUAAGGAUCGGCUAACUCCGUGCCAGCAGCCGCGGUAAUACGGAGGAUCCAAGCGUUAUCCGGAAUCAUUGGGUUUAAAGGGUCCGUAGGCGGUUUAGUAAGUCAGUGGUGAAAGCCCAUCGCUCAACGGUGGAACGGCCAUUGAUACUGCUAGACUUGAAUUAUUAGGAAGUAACUAGAAUAUGUAGUGUAGCGGUGAAAUGCUUAGAGAUUACAUGGAAUACCAAUUGCGAAGGCAGGUUACUACUAAUGGAUUGACGCUGAUGGACGAAAGCGUGGGUAGCGAACAGGAUUAGAUACCCUGGUAGUCCACGCCGUAAACGAUGGAUACUAGCUGUUGGGCGCANGUUCAGUGGCUAAGCGAAAGUGAUAAGUAUCCCCCUGGGGAGUACGUUCGCAAANUGAACUCAAGNAUUGACGGGGCCCCCCAANCGGGGACAUGGGUUAAUUCNA
rnacentral:rRNA from 1 species